GCGGCGAGCGAACGGGGAGCAGCCCAGAGUCUGAAUCAGCUUGUGUGUUAGUGGAACGGUCUGGAAAGUCCGACGGUACAGGGUGAUAGUCCCGUACACCAAAAUGCACAGGCUGUGAACUCGAAGAGUAGGGCGGGACACGUGGUAUCCUGUCUGAAUAUGGGGGGACCAUCCUCCAAGGCUAAAUACUCCUGACUGACCGAUAGUGAACCAGUACCGUGAGGGAAAGGCGAAAAGAACCCCGGCGAGGGGAGUGAAAAAGAACCUGAAACCGUGUACGUACAAGCAGUGGGAGCACCUUCGGGUGUGACUGCGUACCUUUUGUAUAAUGGGUCAGCGACUUAUAUUCUGUAGCAAGGUUAACCGUAUAGGGGAGCCGCAGGGAAACCGAGUCUUAACUGGGCGUUAAGUUGCAGGGUAUAGACCCGAAACCCGGUGAUCUAGCCAUGGGCAGGUUGAAGGUUGGGUAACACUAACUGGAGGACCGAACCGACUAAUGUUGAAAAAUUAGCGGAUGACUUGUGGCUGGGGGUGAAAGGCCAAUCAAACCGGGAGAUAGCUGGUUCUCCCCGAAAGCUAUUUAGGUAGCGCCUCGUGAACUCAUCUUCGGGGGUAGAGCACUGUUUCGGCUAGGGGGUCAUCCCGACUUACCAACCCGAUGCAAACUACGAAUACCGAAGAAUGUUAUCACGGGAGACACACGGCGGGUGCUAACGUCCGUCGUGAAGAGGGAAACAACCCAGACCGCCAGCUAAGGUCCCAAAGUCAUGGUUAAGUGGGAAACGAUGUGGGAAGGCACAGACAGCCAGGAUGUUGGCUUAGAAGCAGCCAUCAUUUAAAGAAAGCGUAAUAGCUCACUGGUCGAGUCGGCCUGCGCGGAAGAUGUAACGGGGCUAAACCAUGCACCGAAGCUGCGGCAGCGACACUAUGUGUUGUUGGGUAGGGGAGCGUUCUGUAAGCCUGCGAAGGUGUGCUGUGAGGCAUGCUGGAGGUAUCAGAAGUGCGAAUGCUGACAUAAGUAACGAUAAAGCGGGUGAAAAGCCCGCUCGCCGGAAGACCAAGGGUUCCUGUCCAACGUUAAUCGGGGCAGGGUGAGUCGACCCCUAAGGCGAGGCCGAAAGGCGUAGUCGAUGGGAAACAGGUUAAUAUUCCUGUACUUGGUGUUACUGCGAAGGGGGGACGGAGAAGGCUAUGUUAGCCGGGCGACGGUUGUCCCGGUUUAAGCAUGUAGGCUGAUUGUCCAGGCAAAUCCGGAUAAUCAAGGCUGAGGUGUGAUGACGAGGCACUACGGUGCUGAAGUAACAAAUGCCCUGCUUCCAGGAAAAGCCUCUAAGCAUCAGGUAACAUCAAAUCGUACCCCAAACCGACACAGGUGGUCAGGUAGAGAAUACCAAGGCGCUUGAGAGAACUCGGGUGAAGGAACUAGGCAAAAUGGUGCCGUAACUUCGGGAGAAGGCACGCUGGUGUGUAGGUGAAGUCCCUGCGGAUGGAGCUGAGACCAGUCGAAGAUACCAGCUGGCUGCAACUGUUUAUUAAAAACACAGCACUGUGCAAACACGAAAGUGGACGUAUACGGUGUGACGCCUGCCCGGUGCCGGAAGGUUAAUUGAUGGGGUUAUCCGUAAGGAGAAGCUCUUGAUCGAAGCCCCGGUAAACGGCGGCCGUAACUAUAACGGUCCUAAGGUAGCGAAAUUCCUUGUCGGGUAAGUUCCGACCUGCACGAAUGGCGUAAUGAUGGCCAGGCUGUCUCCACCCGAGACUCAGUGAAAUUGAACUCGCUGUGAAGAUGCAGUGUACCCGCGGCAAGACGGAAAGACCCCGUGAACCUUUACUAUAGCUUGACACUGAACAUUGAGCCUUGAUGUGUAGGAUAGGUGGGAGGCUUUGAAGCGUGGACGCCAGUCUGCGUGGAGCCAACCUUGAAAUACCACCCUUUAAUGUUUGAUGUUCUAACGUUGGCCCCUGACCGGGGUUGCGGACAGUGUCUGGUGGGUAGUUUGACUGGGGCGGUCUCCUCCCAAAGCGUAACGGAGGAGCACGAAGGUUAGCUAAUCCUGGUCGGACAUCAGGAGGUUAGUGCAAUGGCAUAAGCUAGCUUGACUGCGAGCGUGACGGCGCGAGCAGGUGCGAAAGCAGGUCAUAGUGAUCCGGUGGUUCUGAAUGGAAGGGCCAUCGCUCAACGGAUAAAAGGUACUCCGGGGAUAACAGGCUGAUACCGCCCAAGAGUUCAUAUCGACGGCGGUGUUUGGCACCUCGAUGUCGGCUCAUCACAUCCUGGGGCUGAAGUAGGUCCCAAGGGUAUGGCUGUUCGCCAUUUAAAGUGGUACGCGAGCUGGGUUUAGAACGUCGUGAGACAGUUCGGUCCCUAUCUGCCGUGGGCGCUGGAGAAUUGAGGGGGGCUGCUCCUAGUACGAGAGGACCGGAGUGGACGCAUCACUGGUGUUCGGGUUGUCAUGCCAAUGGCACUGCCCGGUAGCUAAAUGCGGAAGAGAUAAGUGCUGAAAGCAUCUAAGCACGAAACUUGCCCCGAGAUGAGUUCUCCCUGAGACUUUAAGUCUCCUGAAGGAACGUUAAAGACGAUGACGUUGAUAGGCCGGGUGUGUAAGCGCAGCGAUGCGUUGAGCUAACCGGUACUAAUGAACCGUGAGGCUUAACCUU
rnacentral:rRNA from 1 species